rnacentral:rRNA from 1 species
CAGUCGCCGCGGUAAAACGAAGGGGGCUAGCGUUGUUCGGAAUUACUGGGCGUAAAGCGCACGUAGGCGGAUAUUUAAGUCAGGGGUGAAAUCCCAGAGCUCAACUCUGGAACUGCCUUUGAUACUGGGUAUCUUGAGUAUGGAAGAGGUUAGUGGAAUUGCGAGUGUAGAGGUGAAAUUCGUAGAUAUUCGCAGGAACACCAGUGGCGAAGGCGGCUAACUGGUCCAUAACUGACGCUGAGGUGCGAAAGCGUGGGGAGCAAACAGGAUUAGAUACCCCUGUAGUCCCUGUCUCUUAUAC